rnacentral:misc_RNA from 1 species
GUCAGAAACAACGUGGGGUGCCGCGAAACAAGGUGAACAGGUUUGCAAGCGGCAUUGUGCGAACUGCACUUUGCUUGUUGCUCGCCGAUACAAUUUUCAGUUCUGAACGACGACCGGCGUCGUCUUCUUCGUCUUUCGUGGACGACGAAACGCGGCACUCAGCGAAAUUUUUGCUCACGUUUUUCGCGAGUAUGGGACUCGGUACGCGGCUCUCAGACCUUGCCGGUUGUUAAAAAAGAAAGAAUUAAUCGGGAACUCGUCACACGAGUACGUUCAACGAUAAAUACCGGACAGCAUCCUAUCCGGUGACUACAUUUGUGGACUGUGAGUGUUCGUAUUAACUGAUGUCUUGUGAAUGAUUCAAAGCCACGAGAUCAUCGUGACUGCCGGACAGGGAAAUGCCUGCGAUCAAACUCUUCGGAAGAAAAUGGCUAGCCGCGACAGAUGAUCUUGUCUAUCCAGGUCUGUUCGAGAUUUUCUUUCGAACCGUUUGGUUAAUGCUUAUUGGUGGUGCCUGUUACAAAUACUACGAAUACACAUGGAGUUGUCGAUUAGGAGGAGAACUCGUUCGAGUAUAUCUCCUCGGAGAAGCGGUAUUUUUACUCAUAUCUAUAAUUUUCAUGUUGGUCAUCGUAAGACAUAGCGCAAAAGGAGCUAUAAUGGACACACGUGCUCGCAAAUAUGUCGAACCUCUCGUCACAGCUAAGAUAUUAUUACUCCUACCCGAGAUAGCAUGGAAUGCUUUAGGAAGUUUGUGGAUGUUCGGAUCAGAAAUUGAGUGCAGUUACGAGCACUAUACCGUCAGCGUAGUGAAGACGCUAGUAGUUUUCGACUGGGUUCUCAUAGGUCUGAUGAUUGUUGGAUUAGUGGUGAUAUUCGAUCCUAUGGGAUCAUUAGAAAAGAAACAAUACGACUCUUUUACUCUACACGACAAAUUGGCCAACAACUGGAGACGCAGGUUCAGAUGUUUCUGCUGGAUGAAGAAAGAUGAAAAUGCUAACCUGGCCUUCGAUCAUUUCGCUGCCGGACUUACCUGUCUGUUUCGUGGAACGGAUUUAGUACCUUCUGACUGCUUGGCAGGAAUAAUUCUGCUCAGAAUUCGACAAAAAUACGAAACCCACGAAUUACGACGUCUAAACAUGCUUCCUGCUCCAGUCUACACUUCCGAUGUAUCUGCAAUAUUUCAUGACGCACCAAGCUGGAUGUCCUUGGACGAUGCACUUCACUACAUGAAAAUUUGUCUAGCCGUUUAUGGAUGGAUAUUUGUUAUGUAUAAACACUGCUACACGGGGUGUUUUCGAGUUAUCGCAAAUUUGACGUGUUGCGGAUGUUUCCGGAAACAUACCGCAAUCAACGGUGACAAUUGUUGCUAUUGUUAUUUAGGAGGUUUCAAAGAUUUAUCGGGUAUAUCUGCGGACGACAUACUGUUUGCAUCGUUUCGAGAUCGCAUAUGCGAGAUACCGUACUGCGUGUACGUCGACCAUAAAAUGAAAAAAAUCGUCAUUGUAAUACGAGGUUCUCUGUCGAUACGUGAUAUAUUCACGGACUUCGCUGCCGAUUCCGACGUUUUCGAAUGGGAAGGUGUGCCACCUGGCUCGCAGGGACACACCUGUAUGAUUGCAGCAGCCAAGUUCAUUUUAAACCAAUUGGAUGAAAAUAAAGUCUUGGAACGAGCGUUCAUUACGUAUUCUGAAUUUAAUUUAAUGAUCACAGGUCACAGUCUGGGUGCUGGUAUCGGUAUUCUUUUAGCUUUUUACUUGCGACCACGAUACCCGAAUGUAAAGGUCUACGCGUUUUCCACACCAGCCGGUCUUUUAUCUCGCCAAGCUGCCAAAGCGUCGGAAGAAUUCGCUCUAACGAUUGGAGUUGGCGAUGAUUUAGUAAUGAGGCUAAGUAUGAACAGUAUAGAGGAUCUCAGAGUAUCAUUAAUCAUGUGCCUUCAGUCUUGUCGAUUACCCAAGAGUGAUAUUAAAUGGUUUAAGUUAUAUGCUGCUUGGUCAAAUACCAGAAAAAGAUCUCAAUAGAGCGUGGACUGAUAGCGGGGUAAUCAACACCUCAGCAGGACAAUCGCCUUUACUAAACAUAAAAUAUGUUCCGAAAACAGAGGAACAACAGAUAUACGAGGAUGAUAUAACAAAAAGGAGGUUAUCAAAAGCGAAAUUAUACGUAGCAGGCAGAAUACUUCAUAUAAUAAGUUG